rnacentral:lncRNA from 1 species
GUUGCACAGUUAGCAAGUGAUGGAGGCAGGGGUUUGACCCAGCAGGAUGGUUCCAGGGUCUAUGAUGCUCCAGAAGCAGAGUGAAGUGGGUAGGGGAGCUGGCCAGGAGACCCAGGGCCCACGUGGUACAGAACUGUACUCUUGCUAAGCUCUAAGGACCCAGCUGCCCCCCCACACACACACACCUAGAGGGGAGAAGAGGAAGCCCUUCCCUCCACUGGCUCAUACUGUCCCCCUAUUUCACCUGUUCCUUCCUGACCAGAAGGCCUGCAGCUCGGAAGGAGAACCAUGCCACUGUGCGCAGGCUCGGCUAGAGUCUCUGCUGACAGCUGUCCUGGAGCAGCCCCGGGUCACCUUGGGGGAGGGAGCCUGGGAAAUGUCUGGGUGACCCGUGCUCUCCCUCAGUCUCAGGAAACUCCUGGCUCCGGGGCCAAGCACUGAGAGCCUUAUCCCCAGAUAAGAUUCCCCGUAGCCUGUGGGUGCCCUCCAACCUCCACACCCCGUGUCCAAGCCGGGGAGCGGGCAGAGCUGAUGGAAAGGAAUGCCAGCUACCCGAGACCCACCCGUUCUCCUGUCUCCGCCGAGGAGGUGGGGAAGUGGCCGCAGAGAACUGCAGAGAGGAAUUUGAGAUAGAAGACUGGGGAACAGAUGAAUGUGUCCAUUCAGAGGGCCAGGGAAAGGCUGUCGCCUCGCCUUGCUCCUGCCCCUCCCCUCUCCUCUGCUUGGACCCUGGCCAAGCUGGCUUACCCCACCCCAGCCAGGCAGC